GGUGGCUCAGUGGUAGAGUGCUUGCCUUGCAUGCAUGAGGCCCCUGAGUUCGAUUCCUUAGCACCA
rfam:Dipodomys ordii contig_58918, whole genome shotgun sequence.